CCUACGGGAGGCAGCAGUGGGGAAUCUUAGACAAUGGGCGCAAGCCUGAUCUAGCCAUGCCGCGUGAGUGACGAAGGCCUUAGGGUCGUAAAGCUCUUUCGCCAGGGAUGAUAAUGACAGUACCUGGUAAAGAAACCCCGGCUAACUCCGUGCCAGCAGCCGCGGUAAUACGGAGGGGGUUAGCGUUGUUCGGAAUUACUGGGCGUAAAGCGCGCGUAGGCGGAUUGGAAAGUUGGGGGUGAAAUCCCGGGGCUCAACCCCGGAACUGCCUCCAAAACUAUCAGUCUAGAGUUCGAGAGAGGUGAGUGGAAUUCCGAGUGUAGAGGUGAAAUUCGUAGAUAUUCGGAGGAACACCAGUGGCGAAGGCGGCUCACUGGCUCGAUACUGACGCUGAGGUGCGAAAGUGUGGGGAGCAAACAGGAUUAGAUACCCUGGUAGUCCACACCGUAAACGAUGAAUGCCAGACGUCAGGGGGUUUUACCCUUUGGUGUCACACCUAACGGAUUAAGCAUUCCGCCUGGGGAGUACGGUCGCAAGAUUAAAACUCAAAGGAAUUGACGG
rnacentral:rRNA from 1 species